rnacentral:rRNA from 1 species
ACUCUAAGCGGUGGAUCACUCGGCUCAUGGGUCGAUGAAGAACGCAGCAAACUGUGCUGCUCAAGUCAUAGUGG